GAGAAUAAUCCAAACCAUCAGUUAAGGUCCCAAAAUACGGCUCAGUGUAAAAGGAUGUGAUUUUGCUUAGACAAUGGGGAUGUUGGCUUAGAGGCAGCCAUCAUUUAAACAGUGCGUAACAGCUGACCCAUCGAGCGAAAUUGCGCCGAAAAUGAUCGGGACUUAAGCCGUAUACCGAAGCUAUGGCUGCCAUCGCAAGAUGGCGGGGUAGGAAAGCGUUCCAAAUGCAGCGAAGUGGAAGGGGUAACCGACCAUGGAGCGUUAGGAAGUGAGAAUGCAGACAUAAGUAACGAUAAAGAUGGUUAAAAUCCAUCUCGCCUCAAUUCCAAGGAUUCCUGGGGAAGGUUCGUCCUCCCAGGGUUAGUCGGGAGCUAAGACGAGGCCGUAAGGAGUAGUCGAUGCACAGCUGGUUCAAUAUUCCAGCACCACCUUAUUAGAGUUCGAUGCCAAGGAGUGACGGAGAAAGUUGACACGAGCGGGGCGCUGAUUUCCGUUCAAGUCCGUAGGUUAUUCGGGAGUAAAAUACCGGAUCUAUCUGAAAGACGAUGAAGAGCUGAGGCUACGGCCGAGGCGAUUCGCGUGAUACUCGGCUUCCAGGAAAAGCUUCGUGGCUACUUGAUAGGGUGCCCGUACCGUAAACCGACACAGGUGGAAUAGAUGAGUAUUCUAAGGCGCGUGGGUUAAAUCUCUCUAAGGAACUCGGCAAACUGACCCCGUAUGUUAGCUAUAAGGGGUGCCUCGCAAGAGGCCACAGAUAAGAGUGCCAACCGACUGUUUAGCAAAAACACAGCUCUCUGCUAAGUCGCAAGACGACGUAUAGGGAGUGACUUGUGACCAAUGCGGAAAGGUGAAAGCCUGGGGUGCAAGCUCCGGGUCUAAGCCCCCGUGAAUGUCGGCCGUAACUAUAACGGUCCUAAGGUAGCGAAAUUCCUUGUCGGGUAAGUUCCGACCCGCACGAAUCAAGUAACGAGUUGACAACUGUCUCGGAGAGAGGCCCAGUGAAAUUGUAGUGGCGGUGAAGAUGCCGCCUACCCGCAGCAGGACGGAAAGACCCUAUGCACCUUUACUGUAAGCUGUUAUUGUCGCUUGAUUUUUAGUACGUAGCAUAGCUGGGAGACUGCGAAGCCUGCCUUCAGGGGCGGGCCGAGUCGAAAUAUGAAAUACCAGUUUCUAAUUGUUAGGCGUCUAACCUCGUCCCAUUAUCUGGGCGAGGGACAGUGAUAGCAGGUCAGUUUUUCUGGGGCGGAAUCCUCCCAAAGAGUAACGGAGGAUUACGAAGGUUCCCUCAGCCCGGUCGGUAAUCGGGCUAUAGAGCGCAUGAGUAUAAGGGAGCUUUACUGUGAGACCAACAAGUCGAGCAGUUGCGAAAGCAGGUUCAAGUGAUCCGGUGGUUGAAUGUGGAAUCGCCAUCGCUCAUAGGACAAAAGGUACGCCAAG
rnacentral:rRNA from 1 species